GUUUCCGUCCCCUUGCGGGGAAAUGGGAUGAAAGAUCAAC
rfam:Leptolyngbya sp. O-77 DNA, complete genome.